rnacentral:rRNA from 1 species
AUUGAACGCUGGCGGCAGGCUUAACACAUGCAAGUCGAGCGAGCGGCGGACGGGUGAGUAAUGUCUGGGAAACUGCCUGAUGGAGGGGGAUAACUACUGGAAACGGUAGAUAAUACCGCAUACCAUCAGAUGUUCCCAGAUGGGAUUAGCUAGUCGGUGGGGUAAUGGCUCACCUAGGCGCCGAUCCCUAGCUGGGCUGAGAGGAUGACCAGCCACACUGGAACUGAGACACGGUCCAGACUCCUACGGGAGGCAGCAGUGGGGAAUCUUCCGCAAUGGACGAAAGUCUGACGGAGCAACGCCGCGUGUGUGAAGAAGGCCUUCGGGCUGUAAAGCACUUUCAGCGAGGAGGCGUUACUCGCAGAAGAAGCACCGGCUAACUCCGUGCCAGCAGCCGCGGUAAUUC